GUGAAGUCCCUGCGGAUGGAGCUGAGACCAGUCGAAGAUACCAGCUGGCUGCAACUGUUUAUUAAAAACACAGCACUGUGCAAACACGAAAGUGGACGUAUACGGUGUGACGCCUGCCCGGUGCCGGAAGGUUAAUUGAUGGGGUUAUCCGUAAGGAGAAGCUCUUGAUCGAAGCCCCGGUAAACGGCGGCCGUAACUAUAACGGUCCUAAGGUAGCGAAAUUCCUUGUCGGGUAAGUUCCGACCUGCACGAAUGGCGUAAUGAUGGCCAGGCUGUCUCCACCCGAGACUCAGUGAAAUUGAACUCGCUGUGAAGAUGCAGUGUACCCGCGGCAAGACGGAAAGACCCCGUGAACCUUUACUAUAGCUUGACACUGAACAUUGAGCCUUGAUGUGUAGGAUAGGUGGGAGGCUUUGAAGCGUGGACGCCAGUCUGCGUGGAGCCAACCUUGAAAUACCACCCUUUAAUGUUUGAUGUUCUAACGUUGGCCCCUUACCGGGGUUGCGGACAGUGUCUGGUGGGUAGUUUGACUGGGGCGGUCUCCUCCCAAAGCGUAACGGAGGAGCACGAAGGUUAGCUAAUCCUGGUCGGACAUCAGGAGGUUAGUGCAAUGGCAUAAGCUAGCUUGACUGCGAGCGUGACGGCGCGAGCAGGUGCGAAAGCAGGUCAUAGUGAUCCGGUGGUUCUGAAUGGAAGGGCCAUCGCUCAACGGAUAAAAGGUACUCCGGGGAUAACAGGCUGAUACCGCCCAAGAGUUCAUAUCGACGGCGGUGUUUGGCACCUCGAUGUCGGCUCAUCACAUCCUGGGGCUGAAGUAGGUCCCAAGGGUAUGGCUGUUCGCCAUUUAAAGUGGUACGCGAGCUGGGUUUAGAACGUCGUGAGACAGUUCGGUCCCUAUCUGCCGUGGGCGCUGGAGAAUUGAGGGGGGCUGCUCCUAGUACGAGAGGACCGGAGUGGACGCAUCACUGGUGUUCGGGUUGUCAUGCCAAUGGCACUGCCCGGUAGCUAAAUGCGGAAGAGAUAAGUGCUGAAAGCAUCUAAGCACGAAACUUGCCCCGAGAUGAGUUCUCCCUGAGACUUUAAGUCUCCUGAAGGAACGUUGAAGACGACGACGUUGAUAGGCCGGGUGUGUAAGCGCAGCGAUGCGUUGAGCUAACCGGUACUAAUGAACCGUGAGGCUUAACCUUACAACGCCGAAG
rnacentral:rRNA from 1 species